UACGUAGGGUGCGAGCGUUGUCCGGAAUUAUUGGGCGUAAAGAGCUCGUAGGCGGUUUUGUCGCGUCUGCUGUGAAAACGCGAGGCUCAACCUCGCGCCUGCAGUGGGUACGGGCGGACUCGAGUUCGGCAGGGGAGACUGGAAUUCCUGGUGUAGCGGUGAAAUGCGCAGAUAUCAGGAGGAACACCGGUGGCGAAGGCGGGUCUCUGGGCCGAUACUGACGCUGAGGAGCGAAAGCGUGGGGAGCGAACAGG
rnacentral:rRNA from 1 species